CAGUCUGUGUGGGGACCAUGAGAUCCAGACCAAAGCUCAGAGGCCAGAGCAGCAGCACACACCAGACUCUGCUGGACCUGGACCUGAACAUGGACCUGAGCCCAGCUGUGUGUCCAUGAAGAGUGACUGGUCAAAGGAUGAGCCCAUGAAUUUCGAAGGACAGCCUCCCUCUGCUGCAAAGAAAGUGGACCAGGAGAGCUCAGAGGUUCCCAGUGCUCAGUCUGCCCAGCAGCAUCAAACACAC